ACGUGCAUUUGCAAAUGGUUAAUGGCAUUUACCAUAUGAAAUUGACAUCUCAAAAAUGCCAAAAUUGAUGGCCUGAUGAACACAGGAUGGCCGCCGACGCGUGAUAGUUGUUCCCUUUUCCAUCACUCGUUGUGUUUAUUCAUCCGUCCAUUUUGGUGGUGUUUUUCACUAUAGAAUCAUAUGCAAAUGCACGUGGUGUUGUGCCAACUGGUACACCCAAAAACUAAAAAAUAUGGUUGUAAAUGCAUUACCGGGCCUCCUAUUGUUCCAUGCCCGCUAUGGGAUUACCUACUAGACCUCUAUCCAGGGGGCCGCCCUGAGGCUUUAUGGACGUUUUUUAAAAAUAGGCACCUGGUAACCCAAAUAAAAAAUAUGCGUCUGUAAAAUGUUAAGCGAGCUACGGUCAAGCGGGAUAUCGUUGAACCGGCACGGCCUAGGGAUUAUGGUAAUGCCAUUGCCUGCUCUCUGUGUCUUUAAGCACCGCACUUUGUCACUCCAUCCUUUGCUUGUUGUUGGGUGUGUGUGUGUGUGAGAGAGCUUUUCUUUGACAUCUGUUGGGAGAAAUGACUGACUUACAGUUUAUGGGGUUGCCUAAUCACAUAUGAAGUUUGAAAAGAUCUGACCUUUUUAACCCUUGGAAAAUGCCUUGACAUACAUUUAGGCACUCCGGUUGGCACAGGAAGCUAUAAAUAAACCAUAUCCUGAUUGGGUGCCUUACAGAUCCUGAGUUUAAGUCUUUGCGUAAGAACGAGUUAUUUACGGAGGGUUUCGUGAGUGUGUGUUAUUUCAGAAAAUCAUAGAAAAUCAAAGCCAUCUCGAAGAGCUCCGCAGCACACUUUAAAAAGAUCGUAAGAACACCCUGCAACAGAUCUGUAACCGUUGAAAAAAAAAACACCUAUCCGUGAACCUCACCAAUCUGUCAUUGUCCAAUUCUCUAAAGACGAUAGAUAAAUGGCUGGUUCUUUUUUAUUGACACCGGAGGCUCCUUGACUUUGAAUGAAGUGGAAAAUAAUUUCUCUAUUUUCAUUUUGGACCUUAAUCCCAGAUAACUGCCAUAACUCAAAAACCGUUUGAGGGCCUGGACGCCAUCUGUUCGGGGCAAACUGCCCAUUAUGCCAAACCUACGCUCACCGAGUUCGGCUUGAACAUAUUUUCCAGUUUCGGCGAUUAAGGCCCCGCGUGAAUCUUGAUUUUUGUCCGAUAGCAAUAUGAUUGCUUCUUGCCCCCUUGUGAUAUUCUGGGACCAGUGGAAAAAAUGACCACAACUCUUAUUAUUUUUGUGAAACGGAAACCGAAGUCCGCCAAAGUUCAUUUGAUGACUUCUUGUAGGUCCUGGCCCUUGCCGCUGGCCCGACGCCGUCCGCGUUUUACACAGUUUCGGACGUCUAGUAAGGGACCGUACAUUUGCAAAUGCUGCACUUUCUCAUUAACCAUCGGCAACUGCCGAAAUGUUCCCUUCAGGUAUGUAAGGGAAGUCGGCAAGUCAAGAUCCGUAACUUCGGGAUAGGCAUUGGCUCUAAGGCUGGGUCGGUGGCUGGGGUGCGAAGCGGGGCUGGCUCGAGCCGCGGCUGGGGACGCAGUUGCUCGCUCCUCUCUCUCGGCCAACUGCUGGAAGUUCGUUGUGCGGCCCAUCUCGGGGCUCUCUCGUUGUGGUUCUCGCAAGGGGCUGCUUAUGGGGGGGUUCAUUGGGGUGGUUGUCCGUCGGCGUUCGAAGGUGGAUCGGUGGGGGGGUUUGGUUGUGUGGUUGGCAGCGGCGACUCUGGACCGCGUGCCUGGCCCUUCUCGCCAGGAUCUCCCCACCUACGGUGCUCGUUGGCCCCGUUUACGCGGGGGUCUCCGGCGGGUUUGCCUCGGCCGGCGCUAGCAGGCUGACUUAGAAUGGUUGCGGGACCAGCGGGAAUCCGACUGUUUAAUUAAACAAAGCAUCGCGAAGUCCCAAGGUGGGUGAUGAGCGAUUGUGAUUUCUGCCCAGUGCUCUGAAUGUCACAGUGAAGACAUUCAAUGAGCGCGGGUUGUAAACGGCGGGGAGUAACCUAUGACUCUCUUAAGGUAGCCAAAUGCCUCGCUCAUUCUAAUAGUGACGCGCAUACUGGAUAUGAACGAGAUUCCCACUGUUCCCUACCUACUAUCUAGCGAAACCACAGCCAAGGGAACGGGCUCUGGCGAAUCCGCUGGAAAGAAGACCCUGUUGAGCCUUUGGACUCUCUCUGCAUGUGUGAAGAGACUGCGAUGUGUAAAUAAAGUGGGAGGGCCCGGCGCCGGUUGUGAAAUUACCACUCCUCUUCCGUGUUUUCACUUACCCGGGUGAGGCGUGGAGGCCGAGCCCCGAGUGGGCUCUCGCUUCUGGUUUCAAGCACCCGCUCGCGUCGGGUUCCGACCAGCUCGGGACAGUGGCAGCGUGGGAGUUUGACUGUGGCGGUUACACCUGUCAAACGGUAACGCAGGAGGUUGUCUAAGGCGAGCUCAGGGAGGGACAGGAAACCUCCCGUUGGAGCAGAAAGGCAAAAGCUCGUUGAUCUUGAUUUCAGUAUGAAUUACGACCGUGAACGCGGUGCCCCUCCGAUCCUUUCUGACUUUUUUGGGUUUUAGCAGGUAGGUUGUCAGAAACGUUACCACAGGGCUAACUUGUUGUGGCGUGCCAAGCGUUCAUAUCGACGUCGCCUUUUUGAUCCUUCGAUUUUCGUGCUUUCACUACAUUGUGAAGCAGGAAUUCACCAAGCGUUGGAUUGUUCACCCUUAAUAGGGACGUGAGCUGGUUUAUUUAGACCGUAGUUGAGCGGCUUAGUUUACCCUACUGAUUGAUGUGUUGUUGAAUAGUAAUUCCUGCUCAGUACGAGAGAACCGCAGGUUCAGACAUUGGUGUAUGUGCUUGGCGGAUGGAGCAAUGGUGCCGAAGCUACCAUUGUGGGAUUAUGACCUGAACGCCUCUAAGUCAGAAUCCACCCUAAACGUAAUGAUACCGUAGCGCCGUGGAGCUUCGUUGGCCCGGGCUAGCCUGCCUCUUUGCAGUGAGUGAGUGAGCCGUCGUGACAGGGUCUGGGUGCGGCCUCGACGAACGACGAACGACCCCCGACCGCCGAAUGAGUUGCCGCCCCUCUUCCUGCUGCGCACCGCAUGGUUUGUGGAGCACCUGGUGCUUAAAUCACUCGUAGCGCCCUGAUUUGGGUCAGGUGGGUUUCGUGCGUUUGCAGAGCAGCU
rnacentral:rRNA from 1 species